CCUACGGGAGGCAGCAGUGAGGAAUAUUGGUCAAUGGACGAGAGUCUGAACCAGCCAAGUAGCGUGAAGGAUGACUGCCCUAUGGGUUGUAAACUUCUUUUAUAUGGGAAUAAACUGUUCCACGUGUGGGAUUUUGUAUGUACCCUAUGAAUAAGGAUCGGCUAACUCCGUGCCAGCAGCCGCGGUAAUACGGAGGAUCCGAGCGUUAUCCGGCUUUAUUGGGUUUAAAGGGAGCGUAGGUGGAUUGUUAAGUCAGUUGUGAAAGUUUGCGGCUCAACCGUAAAAUUGCAGUUGAAACUGGCAGGCUUGAGUACAGUAGAGGUGGGCGGAAUUCGUGGUGUAGCGGUGAAAUGCUUAGAUAUCACGAAGAACUCCGAUUGCGAAGGCAGCUCACUGGACUGCAACUGACACUGAGGCUCGAAAGUGUGGGUAUCAAACAGGAUUAGAUACCCCAGUAGUC
rnacentral:rRNA from 1 species